rnacentral:rRNA from 1 species
ACAGCAGUCGCCGCGGGAAUACGAAGGGUGCAAGCGUUAAUCGGAAUUACUGGGCGUAAUGCGUGCGUAGGCGGUGAGUUAAGUCUGCUGUGAAAUCCCCGGGCUCAACCUGGGAAUGGCAGUGGAUACUGGCUCGCUAGAGUGUGUCAGAGGAUGGUGGAAUUCCCGGUGUAGCGGUGAAAUGCGUAGAGAUCGGGAGGAACAUCAGUGGCGAAGGCGGCCAUCUGGGACAACACUGACGCUGAGGCACGAAAGCGUGGGGAGCAAACAGGAUUAGAUACCCCUGUAGUCCCUGUCUCUUAUAC